CUUCCAUAAAUAUCAACUGUUCUCUAAUUUUUUUCCAACUAUUUCUUUUCCAUUUUAAUUUUUAGUUUCUAGAAAUUGAAUCUUGUUGAUUGCAGAAAACGGUGAUAAAAAAUAGAAGCGUGGAGUAUAUGCCUUUCAUGCUAUCGUUCUUCUUUUUCUUGAACGGAGGAAUCUGGACUUUCUAUGCUUUUCUCUUGAGCGAUUGGUUUCUUGCAGUUCCAAAUGGGAUAGGAUUAGGGUUGGGAUUAGCACAGAUUGCUAUCUAUGGAGUUUACAGAAAUGCCAAGCCACUGCCAUUGAAGACCUCAAUCCGAACUCAACAAGAACAAGACUCGCAAACCCAACCCCUCAUUUCUUCUUCAAAUCCUGAACCCUAAUUUCGGGUCAUCUCUUCUUUCAUCGAUAUAAUUCUUUUUUGUUGAAGAAUUUGAGUUUGUUUUUGAAGGCUGUAAGUCAUCAUGAAACAUUAGGUGUCCAUACAUGUAUGCGCUAUAUACCUACCAUGGUUAAAUCCUUUCCGUAUCAAUCACUUGUUUACUAUCCAAGUUCAUACCAAAUUUAGACAAGUUUGUAAUGGCUUUAAA